rnacentral:rRNA from 1 species
GUUGAACGCUGGCGGCAGGCUUAACACAUGCAAGUCGAGCGGAGAUGAGGUGCUUGCACCUUAUCUUAGCGGCGGACGGGUGAGUAAUGCUUAGGAAUCUGCCUAUUAGUGGGGGACAACAUUCCGAAAGGAAUGCUAAUACCGCAUACGUCCUACGGGAGAAAGCAGGGGAUCUUCGGACCUUGCGCUAAUAGAUGAGCCUAAGUCGGAUUAGCUAGUUGGUGGGGUAAAGGCCUACCAAGGCGACGAUCUGUAGCGGGUCUGAGAGGAUGAGCCGCCACACUGGGACUGAGACACGCCCCAGACUCCUACGGGAGGCAGCAGUGGGGAAUAUUGGACAAUGGGGGGAACCCUGAUCCAGCCAUGCCGCGUGUGUGAAGAAGGCCUUAUGGUUGUAAAGCACUUUAAGCGAGGAGGAGGCUACUGAGACUAAUACUCUUGGAUAGUGGACGUUACUCGCAGAAUAAGCACCGGCUAACUCUGUGCCAGCCGCCGCCGUAAUAC